AUAUUAAGGCUAUAAGCAUUUAAUUAUUUUCUUUCCUUCAGAGCCUCAAACCUGCACUUUGAAAGACUUUCUCUGCGCAAAUGGAGAUUGUGUUUCUGCGAGAUUCUGGUGUGACGGGGAUUAUGAUUGUGCAGAUGGCUCAGAUGAGCGAUACUGUGAACCUGGCUGCUCAAAAGACCAGUUCCAGUGUUCCAAUGGUCAAUGCAUAUCAGCAAAAUGGAAAUGUGAUGGUCACGAAGACUGCAAAUUUGGGGAUGAUGAGAAAAAUUGUGAACCAGCAUCUCCAACCUGCUCUUCAAGCGAGUAUGUGUGUGCCAGUGGAGGAUGUAUCUCAGCAUCUUUGAGGUGUAAUGGAGAAUUUGACUGUGCUGAUGGCUCUGAUGAGGUAACUGAUGCAUUUCUUUUGAGCCCCUUAUACCAUCCGAUGUGAGGUUUACG
rnacentral:lncRNA from 1 species